AUUGAACGCUGGCGGCAGGCCUAACACAUGCAAGUCGAACGGUAACAGGAAACAGCUUGCUGUUUCGCUGACGAGUGGCGGACGGGUGAGUAAUGUCUGGGAAACUGCCUGAUGGAGAGGGAUAACUACUGGAAACGGUAGCUAAUACCGCAUAACGUCGCAAGACCAAAGAGGGGGACCCUCGGGCCUCUUGCCAUCGGAUGUGCCCAGAUGGGAUUAGCUUGUUGGUGGGGUAACGGCUCACCAAGGCGACGAUCCCUAGCUGGUCUGAGAGGAUGACCAGCCACACUGGAACUGAGACACGGUCCAGACUCCUACGGGAGGCAGCAGUGGGGAAUAUUGCACAAUGGGCGCAAGCCUGAUGCAGCCAUGCCGCGUGUAUGAAGAAGGCCUUCGGGUUGUAAAGUACUUUCAGCGGGGAGGAAGGGAGUAAAGUUAAUACCUUUGCUCAUUGACGUUACCCGCAGAAGAAGCACCGGCUAACUCCGUGCCAGCAGCCGCCGCUG
rnacentral:rRNA from 1 species